AUCACCGCUGUGCGAUUUCGGUCCUACUAACUGCUGCUAAAUCGCACAAAGACACAACGACGCACAAAUACGAACAAAUACACCGUGAAUUGGGAUCCCAACAUUCAGUCAUGUUAACUGUUAAAUUGGUUAAAUGGGUAAAAUAAAAGGUUAAUCGGAGUUUAAAAUUCUAUAUAAGCAUAAGCGGCGGGAAUAUGAGGAUGAAGCUAACGGAUACGGGUGGCCUGUUGGAAAAGUUUUACGCAAAAUUUCUUUAUAUUGAAACGGAUUUUUCAAUUUUGAUUAACAAAGAACUACAAUGUCUGAUAUAGCUAUCACGUUAAUCGGAGCAAUAAUUCUACUUGUGAUUUUUGUGUUCUGCAAAAAAGGGUCGAGGACGGAGAACCCAAGUCAGCCAAACGGCUGUCAUUCAAUCAACGUGCGAAUAGAACUCGUUCUAGACGGACAUGCUGCUCUUCAGCGUGUUCAUAGAAACCACGAUGAGGGUUCAUCACAACGUUGCACUGGCUGCGGCUGUCUGGUUUGGACAAGGUUUGAAGACCAUCGACAUGCCAUUGAAAACCACGUGAUUCCUAUACGACUCAGCACCACUGUUGAGCGGAUAGAAGACAAUCAAGCGGACUAGAAAACAUAACAUUAUAACACUGAAUAGUGCUUCAUUAUUUACACUACCGUAUAUCUUUGCUUAUUCUGUGUUUUUCUAUUUAUCAAUCCAUGUUUCGUACUUAAGAUUUUAUAUUUGCUAAAAAUUAUCGAAUAUACAUAUUAUAUUUUAAAACUGCUUGUACAAGUGUAUACUCUAUUAAAGUUAUAACGCAUCGAAUAAAACUCAACAUUG